AUCGGAACAUGUCCUGUAGUGGGGGAUAGCCCGGCGAAAGCCGGAUUAAUACCGCAUACGAUCUGAGGAUGAAAGCGGGGGACCUUUGGGCCUCGCGCUAUAGGGUUGGCCGAUGGCUGAUUAGCUAGUUGGUGGGGUAAAGGCCUACCAAGGCGACGAUCAGUAGCUGGUCUGAGAGGACGACCAGCCACACUGGGACUGAGACACGGCCCAGACUCCUACGGGAGGCAGCNNUGGGGAAUUUUGGACAAUGGGCGAAAGCCUGAUCCAGCAAUGCCGCGUGUGUGAAGAAGGCCUUCGGGUUGUAAAGCACUUUUGUCCGGAAAGAAAUCCUUGGUUCUAAUAUAGCCGGGGGAUGACGGUACCGGAAGAAUAAGCACCGG
rnacentral:rRNA from 1 species